UAAAGUAAACCUGCAACUUUUCAUACAGGACAGGAGUGCUGAAGGUUUACCAGAUGCAAAGGGAUUGACUGACGGUGUUUGCUCAGUUGUUAAACGAUCCUCUCAGCGACGAACGGUGCCGGAAAUACGAUCUGACUGUGGUUCCGGCUUCAAUCGGCGACUGAUGCAGCUGGUGGUUGGAGGACGGUUCAACGGGUGGGGUGGUGAUUGACGGUGGGCGGCGAGGAGAGGAUGCCUUGGCUGCAGACGUCAAACUGAUGCUGCCGAAAAGGGCGAGUAAGUCGGUUUUGGAUGUGGAUGCGAAGUGAGGUAAACGUUACCCGUGAAAACGGCAGGAGUACAGAGAAAACUAGCGCUGCAAACGAAUCAAACGUUUGGUGAAUAGUUCGUAAACUGUUCGGCGGGAAGUUUGUUUGUGUUCAUUCAUUUAUUAAAAAAACGAACACGAACAAGAAAUUUUGUUCGUUUAGUUAAAUGAACAAACAUGAACAGACGUCAUGAUCGUUCAUCUAUGUUCGUGAACGUUCGGUAAGGUGUCCGUUUAUGUUUUUGGUUUUUAUAUAUAUUUAAAUACUUCAAAAUUCCAACA
rnacentral:lncRNA from 1 species